UUUAACUUAGUUUAAAAUAAAAACGGAAGCUUGUCAAGCUUUAAAUGCAAUACUGGUGUUGUAGUUAAAU
rnacentral:tRNA from 2 species